UACAGAGGGUGCAAGCGUUGUUCGGAUUUACUGGGCGUAAAGCGCGUGUAGGCGGUGGCGUAAGUCGGAUGUGAAAUCCCUCGGCUUAACCGGGGAACUGCGUCUGAUACUGGAUGGCUUGAGUUUGGGAGAGGGAUGCGGAAUUCCAGGUGUAGCGGUGAAAUGCGUAGAUAUCUGGAGGAACACCGGUGGCGAAGGCGGCAUCCUGGACCAACACUGACACUGAGGAGCGAAAGCCAGGGGAGCAAACGGG
rnacentral:rRNA from 1 species